rnacentral:tRNA from 1 species
AUUUAAGUAGUUUAAAAAAAAUUUAAAGUUGUGGUCUUUUAGAUAGGGUUCCUCUUAAAUAAUUACUAAAUUUUUGACAGAU